UCUGUGAUCAGGACAGAACACAGAUAUCUCACCAUGGAGUUUGUGCUUGGCUGGGUUUUCCUUGUUGCUGUUUUAAAAGGUGUCCAGUGUGAGGUGCAGCUGGUGGAGUCUGGGGGAGGCCUGGUGAAGCCUGGAGGUUCCCUGAGACUCUCCUGUGCCGCCUCUGGAUUCACUUUCAGUAGCUAUGACAUGAUCUGGGUCCGUCAGGAUCCAGGAAAGGGGCUCCAGUGGAUCUCACAUAUUAAUACUGAUGAAAGCAGCACAAUCUAUGCAGACUCUGUGAAGGGCCGAUUCACAGUCUCCAGAGACAACACCAAGCACACAUUGUAUCUGCAGACGAACAGCCUGAGAGCUGAGGACACGGCGGUGUAUUACUGUGCUGGAGACACAGCAGAGACCAGAAGCUUCUACUGGACCCAUGAGAAUCCUCAGUUUGAGGUGCUUGAUUAA